UUUUUAUAUAUUAUUAUUGGGCUUCGUGUAGGUAUCCUCAAUUCGCGGAAAUUCGACAGUUGUCCGGAUCUGUGAAUUUCCGGCCAGACAGACCAGCUACCGGAAAAGUCUCCGAAUUGGAUCGAGGUUUUGGCUACCCCACCAUUGUCAGGCAUCCCGAGCGCGUUCCCGAAGUCGGAAUCGGCAAAGGUGAGCCGGGACAGCCUUCUUCCUCCGCCCAGCCACCACAGUGAUUGUCGUCAAGUCUGCCACAGGAGGAUAUUUUGUUCUGGGUUAACCUGCCUUUUUACCUCGCAGGUUGUUUAUCAAUAUUGUGUAAUUUUAAUUACUCCUAGAAUUUCCGCAUGUGUUAGCAGUAAUUAUUUGAAAUUGGUCUGUAAUAUUAUAUUCAUGUUGGACCUGUAAACUUAAUAUUUUAAGUCUGUUUGAUGGAUUGGA